UUUAUGAAAUUAAAAUAAUUUGGCGGUAUUUUAGUCUAUUCAGAGGAAUUUGUUUUAUAAUCGAUAAUCCCCGUUAAAUUUUAUUUAUUUUAUUUAAUUUGUAUAUCGUUGUCAUUAGAAUAUUUUAUAAGAAUAAUAAUUUUCUUAAAUUAUUUAAAAUUUUAUGUCAAAUCAAGGUGCAGUUUAUAUUUAAGUAAAAAUGAAUUACAUUAAUAUAUAAUUAAAUGAAUUAAAAAUUGAAACAUUUUUAUGAAGGUGGAUUU
rnacentral:rRNA from 1 species